AUUGAACGCUGGCGGCAGGCCUAACACAUGCAAGUCGAGCGGAGCGGCGGACGGGUGAGUAAUGCCUAGGAAUCUGCCUGGUAGUGGGGGAUAACGUCCGGAAACGGGCGCUAAUACCGCAUACUAUCAGAUGAGCCUAGGUCGGAUUAGCUAGUUGGUGGGGUAAAGGCCUACCAAGGCGACGAUCCGUAACUGGUCUGAGAGGAUGAUCAGUCACAUUGGAACUGCGCCCCGGUCCCGCUUCCUCCGGGAGGCAGCAUUGGGGACUUUUGAACAAGGUGCGAAAUCCUUAUCCACCCAUGCCUCGUGUGUUAUGAAUGUCUUCUUAUUGUAAAGCACUUUAAGUUGGGAGGCGUUACCAACAGAAUAAGCCCCGCCUAACUUCGUGCCAGCCGCCGCUGUAAUAC
rnacentral:rRNA from 1 species